AUUGAACGCUGGCGGCAGGCCUAACACAUGCAAGUCGAACGAGUGGCGGACGGGUGAGUAAUGUCUGGGAAACUGCCUGAUGGAGGGGGAUAACUACUGGAAACGGUAGCUAAUACCGCAUACCAUCAGAUGUGCCCAGAUGGGAUUAGCUAGUUGGUGGGGUAACGGCUCACCAAGGCGACGAUCCCUAGCUGGUCUGAGAGGAUGACCAGCCACACUGGGACUGAGACACGGCCCAGACUCCUACGGGAGGCAGCAGUGGGGAAUAUUGGACAAUGGGGGAAAGCCUGAUGCAGCCAUGCCGCGUGUAUGAUGAAGGCCUUCGGGUUGUAAAGUACUUUUAGCGGGGAGGCGGUAUCUGCAGAAUAAGCACCGGCUAACUCCGUGCCAGCAGCCGCGGUAAUAC
rnacentral:rRNA from 1 species